GUGCUGUGUUGUGGAGCUUCCCCACUCUCUCUCCCUCUCUCUCUCUCUCUCUCUUUCUCUCUGCUUGUCACUCUCUUCGAUUACAGCAGUCUCCGAUAUUAUCCUCUAAACCCAUCUCUGUUUCUGUCUGUUCUUCAAAGUUCAUGUUUCGUUGAAAUUAAGGAAUAGGGUCGAUGCUGUUUUUUUCUACUCAAGCUGGGAAAUUUCACACAUCUGUUUCUUGCAUGCGCUACCCUUUCGAUUACUUGGGAAAGGAAGCACCUGCUCGUGUUUUCUCCUCCUUCCUGAUGACAUAACACAGAUAUUAAUGUGCUGCUAUGAUCCCGUUUCUUGAAUUUUCAUCAUUCAUUCUUCAAAAAAAAAAACCAAGAAAUUAUGGUCUCUGUUAUAGUUUUCUUGUAAAUAUAUGAAUCCAUCUUUGGGCAAUUGAUGCGAUGUUGAGAAUGGUUCUUCUGCUUAUAGACUUGUAUUCUUACUUGGGUUCUCGAUCGAAACUUGGCAGAAUGGAAAUCGAUUCUUGGAGUGUCUCGGAGAUAUAUAUCCUUUUGACAAAUCGGGAGAUAUGCUUGCUUUCUUUGUUUCUUAUAAUCGGAAAUAGUUCAACUCCUUUUCGAGUGACGUUUUCCUCAAUAAUAUCACGGUCUUUGGCUUUGGAGGAAAUGUGGUUACUAUCCUCUUAAUGGCAGUGCUGGGGAUGUCAAAGACGAACACGCUUGCUUACAGAGGCGGCAUUGGGUUGCGUGGAGGAGAGAACAGAGGGUUUCGGACAUGGGGAGGGAGUCUGGCGGAGAAGGAGACGUCCAGAUCCGAACCCGACCCAAUUCACCCUAGCAUCCGGACCCGAACUAACUCGUGACCAAUCAUGAAGCGCCACGUCAGCAUUUAACGGCCACGUGGCAUGGCGGUAACGAACUCGAUAUCAAAAAUUGACAAACAUAUAGGACCUCAAGUGUCAUUCUCCCCAGAAAAAACCCUACUGGAGUGCUCGAACCCUGCUGCAUCUGCUCGAUUCCUCCCUUGAAGCUCCGCGACUCCACUCCGCGACUCCACUCUGCGGCUCGAAGCUCGCUCUUCACCCCCAUUCCCCGCUUGAAGCUCGUUCCCCUCACUCUGCCGAAGUUCAAAGUUCGAAGUUGACUCACUGUCCCAUUCUCCAUUCUAAUUAGGUUAAGGAAGAUGUUGAUCUCUUCAUCACCGAUGAAGUUGGUAAGAUGGAGCUAUACCUGGAGGAAAGGAGCACUGCUGGCAACAAUUCCCUGCUGUCCUGAGAGUACUCAAGUCGAAAAUCCCACUGCUGGCAACAAUUCCCAUCCCAAAAUCUGGGCGUGACAUACCUGGAGUGGCAAGGAUGAGGAAUCAUCCUGGAGCAAAAAUCUUCACCUUGAGUGCUAGCAACAGAGACACAAUGAGAGAGCAGAUCUAUUCCCAACUGUUGGAUUUGCUGCCAAACCGUUAGAGAAAGCACAUUGGUCAUCGGGUUUACUUAGUCUCGUCAUCUCAAAUGUCUAGCUCGUCCUGCACAUCGCUAAAGCUGUUGCUUCCCUGCUUGGUGGCGAUUGAAUCAAAAGGAAAAUUCUGCUAUAUGCCAGCUCAGGCUCUUGAUGUGCUGCUUCCAACUCAGGCAUGUGUAUUUUGCUUUACACUUUGAUCUUUUGCCUUUUUCCGGACCUUUUAGAUGAACGAAUUAGUCUUUUGAGCAUAUGAUCCUUUCUCCAGAUCUGGAUUCUUUACUGUUCUCAAUGAAGCUGAGUUUAGGCUUCCGGAUUCUUUUCAAAUUAAGAGGUUGAAGCUCUUUAUAAUUCAGUGUAAUUGUACUGACGCUGCUUUCGCUUGAGUAAAAUUAUUGAAAAAACUGGCAGGUCGGAUCCACAUUCA